rnacentral:rRNA from 1 species
UACGUAGGGGGCAAGCGUUGUCCGGAUUUAUUGGGCGUAAAGAGCGUGUAGGCGGCCAGGUAGGUCAGCUGUGAAAACUCGGGGCUUAACCCCGGGCCUGGCAGUGGGUACGGGCAGACUAGAGUGCGGUAGGGGAGACUGGAAUUCCUGGUGUAGGCGGUGAAAUGCGCAGAUAUCAGGAAGAACACCUAUGGCGAAGGCAGCUCUCUGGGACGGUACUGACGGCUGAGACGCGAAAGCGUGGGGAGCGAACAGG